UCCAUUGCGGAGGAGGAAAGAACUUUCACUCAGUGAGGGAAAUAAGGGUUUUCCUCCCACCCGUGUUAAUUUUACCUUGUUGCUUCGGCGGGCCCGCCUUACCUGGCCGCCGGGGGGCUUACGCCCCCGGGCCCGCGCCCGCCGAAGACACCCUCGAACUCUGUCUGAAGAUUGAAGUCUGAGUGAAAAUAUAAAUUAUUUAAAACUUUCAACAACGGAUCUCUUGGUUCCGGAUCGAUGAAGAACGCAGCGAAAUGCGAUACGUAAUGUGAAUUGCAAAUUCAGUGAAUCAUCGAGUCUUUGAACGCACAUUGCGCCCCCUGGGGAUUCCGGGGGGCAUGCCUGUCCGAGCGUCAUUGCUGCCCUCAAGCCCGGCUUGUGUGUUGGGCCCCGUCCCCCAAUCUCCGGGGGACGGGCCCACAAAGGCAGCGGCCGGCACCGCGUCCGGUCCUUGAGCGAAUGGGGCUUUGUCACCCGCUUCUGUAGGCCCGGCCGGCGCCUUGCCUAUCAACUCCAAAUUUUUAUCCAGGAUGACCUCGGAUCAGGAAGGGGAUACCGCAGAACCUUAAGCAUAUCAAUAGCCGGAGUAAAAUUUUUAGNAGNAGCNCUANA
rnacentral:rRNA from 1 species